rnacentral:hammerhead_ribozyme from 1 species
UAGCGAAACGUCCCGGCUCUGAUUCAGAGCCGGGCGUCGUCCGGCGGUGGUGCGCCGGGCCUGAUGAGCAGCCAACG